rnacentral:tRNA from 1 species
GGCUCGAUGGUCUAGGGGUAUGAUUCUCGCUUUGGGUUACCAGCUUGCGAGAGGUCCAGGGUUCAAAUCCCUGUCGAGCCC